AGCUCCAAUAGCGUAUAUUAAAGUUGUUGCGGUUAAAAAGCUCGUAGUUGGAUUUCUGUCGAGGACGGCCGGUCUUCACUAUGUGAAAGUAUCUGGUUCGGCCUUGGCAUCCUCGUGGGGAACGUAGCUGCGCUUGAUUGCGUGGUGCGGAAUUCACGACUUUUACUUUGAGGAAAUUAGAGUGUUCACGGCAGGCAAUCGCCUUGAAUAUAUUAGCAUGGAAUAAUAAUAUAGGACCUUGGUUCUAUUUUGUUGGUUUCUAGGACUGAGGUAAUGAUUAAUAGGGAUAAUUGGGGGCAUUUGUAUUAACGCGUCAGAGGUGGAAUUCUUGGAUUGCGUUACGACAAACUACUGCGAAAGCAUUUGCCAAGGAUGUUUUCA
rnacentral:rRNA from 1 species